UACGUAGGGUGCAAGCGUUAAUCGGAAUUACUGGGCGUAAAGCGUGCGCAGGCGGCUUUGCAAGACAGAUGUGAAAUCCCCGGGCUCAACCUGGGAACUGCAUUUGCGACUGCAAGGCUAGAGUACGGCAGAGGGGGAUGGAAUUCCGCGUGUAGCAGUGGAAUGCGUAGAUAUGCGGAGGAACACCGAUGGCGAAGGCAAUCCCCUGGGCCUGUACUGACGCUCAUGCACGAGAGCGUGGGGAGCAAACAGG
rnacentral:rRNA from 1 species